ACUCAAAUGAAUUGACGGGGGCCCGCACAAGCGGUGGAGUAUGUGGUUUAAUUCGACGCAACGCGAAGAACCUUACCAACCUUUGACAUGUCCAGUAUGGGUCUAGGAGACUAGAUCCUUCAGUUCGGCUGGCUGGAACACAGGUGCUGCAUGGCUGUCGUCAGCUCGUGUCGUGAGAUGUUGGGUUAAGUCCCGCAACGAGCGCAACCCUCAUCUUUAGUUGCCCCCGGGUCAGGCCGGGCACUCUAAAGAAACCGCCGGUGACAAGCCGGAGGAAGGCGGGGAUGACGUCAAGUCCUCAUGGCCCUUACAGGUUGGGCUACACACGUACUACAAUGGUGGUGACAGAGGGCAGCGAACCCGCGAGGGGGAGCUAAUCCUCAAAAGCCAUCUCAGUUCGGAUUGCACUCUGCAACUCGGGUGCAUGAAGUUGGAAUCGCUAGUAAUCGCAGAUCAGCACGCUGCGGUGAAUACGUUCCCGGGCCUUGUACACACCGCCCGU
rnacentral:rRNA from 1 species